rnacentral:tRNA from 12 species
GGGUUGCUGCCGGUCGAGGGCACGCACUUCAAACUCGGGUUGGGCUGGGAUCCGGCG